AACAAACGCUGGCGGCGUGCCUAAUACGUGCAAGUCGAACGGGGAAAGCUUUCGGGUGAGUACUAGUGGCGCACGGGUGAGGAACGCGUGGAUAAUCUGCCUUAGAGUGGGGGAUAACUAGUCGAAAGAUUAGCUAAUACCGCAUAAGACCACAGGAGCUGCGGCUCAAGGGGUCAAAGGUUUUUCGCUCUAAGAUGAAUCCGCGUAAGAUUAGCUAGUUGGUGAGGUAACGGCUCACCAAGGCGACGAUCUUUAACUGGUCUGAGAGGAUGAUCAGUCACACUGGAACUGAGACACGGUCCAGACUCCUACGGGAGGCAGCAGUAGGGAAUAUUGCACGAUGGAGGAAACUCUGAUGCAGCGACGCCGCGUGAGUGAUGAAGGCCUUCGGGUCGUAAAGCUCUGUCGCAGGGGAAUAACACAAUGAAUGUACCCUGUAAGAAAGGAUCGGCUAACUUCGUGCCAGCCGCCGCGGUAAAAC
rnacentral:rRNA from 1 species